rnacentral:snRNA from 1 species
AUACUUACUUAGCAGAGGAGAUUCCAUGAUCUGGAAUGUGGUUUUCCUUGGUUUUGUCACAAUCAUUGAUCUGGAACUGAACUGUCUCUUGCAUUUCCUUAUAUAUGGCAAACGACUGCUGC